UACAGAGGUCCCGAGCGUUGUUCGGAUUCAUUGGGCGUAAAGGGUGCGUAGGCGGCGGGGUAAGUUUGAUGUGAAAUCCCGGGGCUCAACCUUGGAAUGGCAUUGAAUACUGCCUUGCUAGAGUACCGGAGAGGAAACUGGAAUUUACGGUGUAGCAGUGAAAUGCGUAGAGAUCGUAAGGAAGACCAGUGGCGAAGGCGGGUCUCUGGACAGUUCCUGACACUGAGGCACGAAGGCCAGGGGAGCAAACGGGG
rnacentral:rRNA from 1 species